rnacentral:rRNA from 1 species
GUGCCAGCAGCCGCGGUAAUACGGAGGGUGCCAGCGUUGUCCGGAUUCAUUGGGUUUAAAGGGUGCGCAGGCGGAAGCUUAAGUCGGGGGUGAAAGACGGUUGCUCAACAAUCGCAGUGCCUUCGAUACUGGGUUUCUUGGGUGAAGUCGAGGCGGAUGGAAUGCAAGGUGUAGCGGUGAAAUGCAUAGAUACCUUGCAGAACUCCGAUUGCGAAGGCAGUCCGCUAGGCUUUAACCGACGCUCAGGCACGAAAGCGUGGGGAUCAAACAGGAUUAGAUACCCCUGUAGUCC